rnacentral:tRNA from 7 species
GCUGGGGUGGCGGAAUUGGUAGACGCGUCUGUUUUGUAAACAGGUAUCCCUCUAAAGAUAUGCGAGUCCGACUCUCGUCCCCAGCA